CCUACGGGUGACAGCAGUGAGGAAUAGUGGUCAAUGGGCGCGAGCCUGAACCAGCCAAGUAGCGUGAAGGAUGACUGCCCUACGGGUUGUAAACUUCGUUUAUAAAGGAAUAAAGUGAGGCACGUGGGCCUUUUUGUAUGUACUUUAUGAAUAAGGAUCGGCUAACUCCGUGCCAGCAGCCGCGGUAAUACGGAGGAUCCGAGCGUUAUCCGGAUUUAUUGGGUUUAAAGGGAGCGUAGAGGGGUUGUUAAGUCAGUUGUGCAAGUUUGCGGCUCAACCGUAAAAUUGCCAUUGAUACUGGCAGUCUUGAUUACAGUUGAGGUAGGCGGACUUCGUGGUGUAGCGGU
rnacentral:rRNA from 1 species